rnacentral:lncRNA from 1 species
CUAGUUUUGUUUCUCAAAAUAGCAGAAUUGUGGUAGUCUUAGUGAUAAAAUUAAGAAUAGAUUGGGGAGUGUGUCAAAGAGACAACAACCGGACAAAACAGCAGAAAGCAGCCGAAGGCCACCAAAACUUGCAGAAUUAAAUUUCUCACCUUUAUAAACAUGUAACUGUUCUUUUCCUAUAAAUAAGAAUUAUACAGUGAUACUGAACAAUGGAGUACACCAAAUUUUGACGUG